rnacentral:rRNA from 1 species
UAAGCCGGAGGAAGGUGGGGAUGACGUCGAAGUCCUCAUGGCCCUUACAGGCUGGGCUACACACGUGCUACAAUGGCAUCUACAGUGGGCAGCUAUUCCGCAAGGAUGCGCUAAUCUCCAAAGAAUGUCUCAGUUCGGAUUGUCCUCUGCAACUCGAGGCAUGAAGGCGGAAUCGCUAGUAAUCGCGGAUCAGCAUGCCGCGGUGAAUACGUUCCCAGGCCUU